UGGGGGAUAUUGCACAAUGGGCGAAAGCCUGAUGCAGCGACGCCGCGUGGGGGAUGAAGGCUUUCGGGUUGUAAACCUCUUUCGCUAUCGAACAAGGCCCGCUUAGGGUGGGUUGAGGGUAGGUGGAGAAGAAGCGCCGGCUAACUACGUGCCAGCAGCCACGGUAAUACGUAGGGCGCGAGCGUUGUCCGGAAUUAUUGGGCGUAAAGGGCUUGUAGGCGGCUUGUUGCGCCUGCUGUGAAAACGCGGGGCUUAACUUCGCGCGUGCAGUGGGUACGGGCAGGCUUGAGUGUGGUAGGGGUGACUGGAAUUCCAGGUGUAGCGGUGGAAUGCGCAGAUAUCUGGAGGAACACCGAUGGCGAAGGCAGGUCACUGGGCCAUUACUGACGCUGAGGAGCGAAAGCAUGGGUAGCGAACAGG
rnacentral:rRNA from 1 species